rnacentral:rRNA from 1 species
AUUGAACGCUGGCGGCAGGCCUAACACAUGCAAGUCGAACGGUAACAGGAAGCAGCUUGCUGCUUCGCUGACGAGUGGCGGACGGGUGAGUAAUGUCUGGGAAGCUGCCUGAUGGAGUGGGAUAACUACUGGAAACGGUAGCUAAUACCGCAUAACGUCGCAAGACCAAAGAGGGGGACCUUCGGGCCUCUUGCCAUCGGAUGAGCCCAGAUGGGAUUAGCUAGUAGGUGGGGUAACGGCUCACCUAGGCGCCUUUCCCUAGCUGGUCUGAGAGAAUGACCAGCCAAACUGGAACUGAGACACGGUCCAGACUCCUAGGGGAGGCAGCAGUGGGAAUAUUGCACAAUGGGCGCAAGCCUGAUGCAGCCAUGCCGCGUGUAUGAAGAAGGCCUUCGGGUUGUAAAGUACUUUCAGCGGGGAGGAAGGCGAUAAGGUUAAUAACCUUGUCGAUUAACGUUACCCGCAGAAGAAGCACCGGCUAACUCCGUGCCAGCCGCCGCCGUAA